GCGGGAGGAGGAGCCACUCCGGUCCACUCUAAGGAGUUGUCGACGUUGAAUUCAACAUCGUCGGCGGGAGCCUCCUCCCGGGCGGGACAACCGGACAAGGUAGAUGACGAAGAGGGAGAGGAGGUCGACGCAGCCGCAUCGUCAGCAUACCCCCGACCUUCAUUCUCGAACUCAUCGGAGGACCACGACGACGUAGACAUUUACCUGAGUAACCGGAGGAAGGAAACAGGAGGACGGGAAGAGAGUAGAGUAGGAACGGGAAUCGGAGAGCAGGUGGAAGAGGAUGGGGGAAUGAGGAGGGGGCCCUCCACCUUUUAUAGCCGAAAAAGGGGCUCCAAGAGAACAUCUCAGCCGUCCAUCGAUGACAAAUCUAACGGAGGAAAAUUUGUGACUCUUCGGUGAACAGGUGUGAUUGAUGGGGGAGAAGAUCAUGGCCGUUGCUGAGUACAGGAUCGAAUGGCUGUGGUGACGAGACGUUUCGUUGCCAAAAACAUUCUGAGAUCUUAAACCCCUUCGCUAAUCGAAGACGCUCGGGGCUUGGGGGGCUUGUGUAGUGGAGGAGGGUCGGUCGAGUCGGCCGGAUCAAGCGUAGUGGAGGAAGCCCGGUCGGGCUGGCUACCAAAGUUGCAGGGGGCGAAGGCGACCUAAGGUCGGACGGCGUGGAUCAAGCGGAUGUGGGGCUGAAGAAGCAUUAAAAGGCUUUGAUGGAGAUGUAACGGAAAACAUAGCAAAUCAAUGAAAUUAAUGGUCAGUUACGAAUACGCAAUCUAUAAAUAGGGACAGCAGAACAGGUAAAGUAAGUUUUGAAUCCAAUUUAAAUCGGUUCAGUUAACUGAUCCACUAUCUGACUUGGGCGUCAGAGUGUUCUUUUUGCAGGAUCUCCCGGUUGAUCCUUACGAGACACCGCUAGGACGAACGGGUCGGACGAUCGGAAACAGGACCAGCAGGUUGGUUCGGUCUCGGACUCUAACACCGAAACACUUUUAAAUUCAAAUAAAAAAUUAUUUU
rnacentral:lncRNA from 1 species